UACGGGGGGAGCAAGCGUUGUUCGGAUUUACUGGGCGUAAAGGGCGCGUAGGCGGUCGUGACAAGUCACUUGUGAAAUCUCCGGGCUUAACUCGGAACGGUCAAGUGAUACUGUCGGACUAGAGUACAGAAGGGGCAACUGGAAUUCUCGGUGUAGCGGUGAAAUGCGUAGAUAUCGAGAGGAACACCUGCGGCGAAGGCGGGUUGCUGGGCUGAUACUGACGCUGAGGCGUGAAAGCCAGGGGAGCGAACGGG
rnacentral:rRNA from 1 species